GGUUAAGCGACUAAGCGUACACGGUGGAUGCCCUGGCAGUCAGAGGCGAUGAAGGACGUGCUAAUCUGCGAUAAGCGUCGGUAAGGUGAUAUGAACCGUUAUAACCGGCGAUUUCCGAAUGGGGAAACCCAGUGUGUUUCGACACACUAUCAUUAACUGAAUCCAUAGGUUAAUGAGGCGAACCGGGGGAACUGAAACAUCUAAGUACCCCGAGGAAAAGAAAUCAACCGAGAUUCCCCCAGUAGCGGCGAGCGAACGGGGAGGAGCCCAGAGCCUGAAUCAGUGUGUGUGUUAGUGGAAGCGUCUGGAAAGGCGCGCGAUACAGGGUGACAGCCCCGUACACAAAAAUGCACAUGCUGUGAGCUCGAUGAGUAGGGCGGGACACGUGGUAUCCUGUCUGAAUAUGGGGGGACCAUCCUCCAAGGCUAAAUACUCCUGACUGACCGAUAGUGAACCAGUACCGUGAGGGAAAGGCGAAAAGAACCCCGGCGAGGGGAGUGAAAAAGAACCUGAAACCGUGUACGUACAAGCAGUGGGAGCACGCUUAGGCGUGUGACUGCGUACCUUUUGUAUAAUGGGUCAGCGACUUAUAUUCUGUAGCAAGGUUAACCGAAUAGGGGAGCCGAAGGGAAACCGAGUCUUAACUGGGCGUUAAGUUGCAGGGUAUAGACCCGAAACCCGGUGAUCUAGCCAUGGGCAGGUUGAAGGUUGGGUAACACUAACUGGAGGACCGAACCGACUAAUGUUGAAAAAUUAGCGGAUGACUUGUGGCUGGGGGUGAAAGGCCAAUCAAACCGGGAGAUAGCUGGUUCUCCCCGAAAGCUAUUUAGGUAGCGCCUCGUGAAUUCAUCUCCGGGGGUAGAGCACUGUUUCGGCAAGGGGGUCAUCCCGACUUACCAACCCGAUGCAAACUGCGAAUACCGGAGAAUGUUAUCACGGGAGACACACGGCGGGUGCUAACGUCCGUCGUGAAGAGGGAAACAACCCAGACCGCCAGCUAAGGUCCCAAAGUCAUGGUUAAGUGGGAAACGAUGUGGGAAGGCCCAGACAGCCAGGAUGUUGGCUUAGAAGCAGCCAUCAUUUAAAGAAAGCGUAAUAGCUCACUGGUCGAGUCGGCCUGCGCGGAAGAUGUAACGGGGCUAAACCAUGCACCGAAGCUGCGGCAGCGACGCUUAUGCGUUGUUGGGUAGGGGAGCGUUCUGUAAGCCUGUGAAGGUGUGCUGUGAGGCAUGCUGGAGGUAUCAGAAGUGCGAAUGCUGACAUAAGUAACGAUAAAGCGGGUGAAAAGCCCGCUCGCCGGAAGACCAAGGGUUCCUGUCCAACGUUAAUCGGGGCAGGGUGAGUCGACCCCUAAGGCGAGGCCGAAAGGCGUAGUCGAUGGGAAACAGGUUAAUAUUCCUGUACUUGGUGUUACUGCGAAGGGGGGACGGAGAAGGCUAUGUUGGCCGGGCGACGGUUGUCCCGGUUUAAGCGUGUAGGCUGGUUUUCCAGGCAAAUCCGGAAAAUCAAGGCUGAGGCGUGAUGACGAGGCACUACGGUGCUGAAGCAACAAAUGCCCUGCUUCCAGGAAAAGCCUCUAAGCAUCAGGUAACAUCAAAUCGUACCCCAAACCGACACAGGUGGUCAGGUAGAGAAUACCAAGGCGCUUGAGAGAACUCGGGUGAAGGAACUAGGCAAAAUGGUGCCGUAACUUCGGGAGAAGGCACGCUGAUAUGUAGGUGAAGUCCCUCGCGGAUGGAGCUGAAAUCAGUCGAAGAUACCAGCUGGCUGCAACUGUUUAUUAAAAACACAGCACUGUGCAAACACGAAAGUGGACGUAUACGGUGUGACGCCUGCCCGGUGCCGGAAGGUUAAUUGAUGGGGUCAGCGCAAGCGAAGCUCUUGAUCGAAGCCCCGGUAAACGGCGGCCGUAACUAUAACGGUCCUAAGGUAGCGAAAUUCCUUGUCGGGUAAGUUCCGACCUGCACGAAUGGCGUAAUGAUGGCCAGGCUGUCUCCACCCGAGACUCAGUGAAAUUGAACUCGCUGUGAAGAUGCAGUGUACCCGCGGCAAGACGGAAAGACCCCGUGAACCUUUACUAUAGCUUGACACUGAACAUUGAGCCUUGAUGUGUAGGAUAGGUGGGAGGCUUUGAAGUGUGGACGCCAGUCUGCAUGGAGCCGACCUUGAAAUACCACCCUUUAAUGUUUGAUGUUCUAACGUUGACCCGUAAUCCGGGUUGCGGACAGUGUCUGGUGGGUAGUUUGACUGGGGCGGUCUCCUCCUAAAGAGUAACGGAGGAGCACGAAGGUUGGCUAAUCCUGGUCGGACAUCAGGAGGUUAGUGCAAUGGCAUAAGCCAGCUUGACUGCGAGCGUGACGGCGCGAGCAGGUGCGAAAGCAGGUCAUAGUGAUCCGGUGGUUCUGAAUGGAAGGGCCAUCGCUCAACGGAUAAAAGGUACUCCGGGGAUAACAGGCUGAUACCGCCCAAGAGUUCAUAUCGACGGCGGUGUUUGGCACCUCGAUGUCGGCUCAUCACAUCCUGGGGCUGAAGUAGGUCCCAAGGGUAUGGCUGUUCGCCAUUUAAAGUGGUACGCGAGCUGGGUUUAGAACGUCGUGAGACAGUUCGGUCCCUAUCUGCCGUGGGCGCUGGAGAACUGAGGGGGGCUGCUCCUAGUACGAGAGGACCGGAGUGGACGCAUCACUGGUGUUCGGGUUGUCAUGCCAAUGGCACUGCCCGGUAGCUAAAUGCGGAAGAGAUAAGUGCUGAAAGCAUCUAAGCACGAAACUUGCCCCGAGAUGAGUUCUCCCUGACCCUUUAAGGGUCCUGAAGGAACGUUGAAGACGACGACGUUGAUAGGCCGGGUGUGUAAGCGCAGCGAUGCGUUGAGCUAACCGGUACUAAUGAACCGUGAGGCUUAACCUU
rnacentral:rRNA from 1 species